rnacentral:rRNA from 1 species
CUACGGGGGGCAGCAGUGGGGAAUUUUGCGCAAUGGGGGAAACCCUGACGCAGCAAUACCGCGUGAGUGAAGAAGGCCUUUGGGUCGUAAAGCUCUUUUCUUGGGGAAGAUAGUGACGGUACCCAAGGAAUAAGCACCGGCUAACUCCGUGCCAGCAGCCGCGGUAAUACGGAGGGUGCAAGCGGUGUUCGGAUUUACUGGGCGUAAAGGGCACGUAGGCGGCGCAGCAAGUUAAGGGUGAAAUCCCGGGGCUCAACUCCGGAACUGCUCUUAAAACUGCUGAGCUAGAGAUAGUCAGAGGCGGGUGGAAUUCCAGGUGUAGAGGUGAAAUUCGUAGAUAUCUGGAGGAACACCGGUGGCGAAGGCGGCCCGCUGGGGCUAUUCUGACGCUAAGGUGCGAAAGCGUGGGGAGCAAACGGGAUUAGAUACCCGGGUAGUC